rnacentral:rRNA from 1 species
UACGUAGGGGGCAAGCGUUGUCCGGAAUCAUUGGGCGUAAAGAGCGUGUAGGCGGUCCGGUAAGUCGGCUGUGAAAGUCCAGGGCUCAACCCUGGGAUGCCGGUCGAUACUGCCGGACUAGAGUUCGGAAGAGGCGAGUGGAAUUCCCGGUGUAGCGGUGAAAUGCGCAGAUAUUGGGAGGAACACCUAUGGCGAAGGCAGCUCGCUGGGACGUUACUGACGCUGAGACGCGAAAGCGUGGGGAACAAACAGG